rnacentral:piRNA from 1 species
AAGGGCUGCAGCAAGGGACAAGUCUCCAUU